GAUGAACGCUGGCGGCGUGCCUAAUACAUGCAAGUCGAGCGAACGGACGAGAAGCUUGCUUCUCUGAUGUUAGCGGCGGACGGGUGAGUAACACGUGGAUAACCUACCUAUAAGACUGGGAUAACUUCGGGAAACCGGAGCUAAUACCGGAUGAUAUUUUGAACCGCAGGGUUCAAAAGUGAAAGACGGUGUUGCUGGCACUUAUAGAUGGAUCUGCGCUGCAUUAGGUAGUUGGUAAGGUAACGGCUUACCAAGGCAACGAGGCAUAGGCGACCUGAGAGAGUGGUCGCCCACCCUGGAACUGGACCACGGUCCAGACUCCUGCGGUAGGCAGCAGUCGGGUAUCUUCCGCAGUGGGCGAAAGCCUUACGGAGCAGCGCCGCGUGAGUGAUGAAGGUCUUCGGAUCGUAAAACUCUGUUAUUAGUGAAGAACAUCUGUGUAAGUAGCUGUGCACAUCUUGACGGUACCUAGUCAGAAAGCCACGGCUAACUACGUG
rnacentral:rRNA from 1 species